GAUGAACGCUGGCGGCGUGCCUAAUACAUGCAAGUCGAGCGAACAGACGAGGAGCUUGCUCCUCUUACGUUAGCGGCGGACGGGUGAGUAACACGUGGAUAACCUACCUAUAAGACUGGGAUAACUUCGGGAAACCGGAGCUAAUACCGGAUAAGAUAUUGAACCUCAUGGUUCAAUAGUGAAAGACGGUUUUGCUGUCACUUAUAGAUGGAUCCACGCCGCAUUAGCUAGUUGGUAAGGUAACGGCUUACCAAGGCGACGAUGCGUAGCCGACCUGAGAGGGUGAUCGGCCACACUGGAACUGAGACACGGUCCAGACUCCUACGGGAGGCAGCAGUAGGGAAUCUUCCGCAAUGGGCGAAAGCCUGACGGAGCAACGCCGCGUGAGUGAUGAAGGUCUUCGGAUCGUAAAACUCUGUUAUUAGGGAAGAACAAAUGUGUAAGUAACUAUGCACGUCUUGACGGUACCUAAUCAGAAAGCCACGGCUAACUACGUG
rnacentral:rRNA from 1 species